rnacentral:rRNA from 1 species
CGAAGUGCGAUAGGGGGAUCCCAAGUGCGCAGGGCAUAUUGCCCCUCCUUUUUGUCGCCUUAAGGGGGUUCCACAAUAAGGACUGGGCAAAAACGGUGCCCGCCGCCGCGGUAAUACCGGCAGCCCCAGUGAUGGCCCAUCUUAUUGGGCCUUAAGCGUCCGUAACUGGCCGGACCAGUCCUUCGGGAAAUCCACCCGCCCCACCGGUGGGCGUCCGGGGGAAACUGGGCGGCUUGGGACCGGAAGGGCCCAAAGGUACCUCCGGGGUAAGAAUGAAAUCCCGUAAUCCCGGAAGGACCGCCGAUGGCGAAAGCACUUCUAGAAAAAGGGUUCCACAGUGAGGGGACAAAGCUACGGUCUUCAAACGGAUUUAAUUCCCGGGGUAGUCCUAGUCGUAAACAAGGCUGCUAGGUUUGCCCCACUACAGUGGGUGCUGGGCCGUAGGAACCGCUAAACAACCGCCUGGGAAGUACGUCCGCAGGAUGAAAUCAGGAAUUUUUGCAGGA